GAUGAACGCUGGCGGCGUGCCUAAUACAUGCAAGUCGAGCGAACAGACGAGGAGCUUGCUCCUCUGACGUUAGCGGCGGACGGGUGAGUGACACGUGGAUAACCUACCUAUAAGACUGGGAUAACUUCGGGAAACCGGAGCUAAUACCGGAUAAUAUAUUGAACCGCAUGGUUCAAUAGUGAAAGACGGUUUUGCUGUCACUUAUAGAUGGAUCCGCGCCGCAUUAGCUAGUUGGUAAGGUAACGGCUUACCAAGGCAACGAUGCGUAGCCGACCUGAGAGGGUGAUCGGCCACACUGGAACUGAGACACGGUCCAGACUCCUACGGGAGGCAGCAGUAGGGAAUCGUCCGCAAUGGGCGAAAGCUUGACGGAGCAACGCCGCGUGAGUGAUGAAGGUCUUCGGAUCGUAAAACUCUGUUAUUAGGGAAGAACAAAUGUGUAAGUAACUAUGCACGUCUUGACGGUACCUAAUCAGAAAGCCACGGCUAACUACGUG
rnacentral:rRNA from 1 species